CUAUCUACAGGCUUAACACAUGCAAGUCGAGGGGCAGCAUGGUCUUAGCUUGCUAAGGCCGAUGGCGACCGGCGCACGGGUGAGUAACACGUAUCCAACCUGCCGUCUACUCUUGGACAGCCUUCUGAAAGGAAGAUUAAUACAAGAUGGCAUCAUGAGUCCGCAUGUUCACAUGAUUAAAGGUAUUCCGGUAGACGAUGGGGAUGCGUUCCAUUAGAUAGUAGGCGGGGUAACGGCCCACCUAGUCUUCGAUGGAUAGGGGUUCUGAGAGGAAGGUCCCCCACAUUGGAACUGAGACACGGUCCAAACUCCUACGGGAGGCAGCAGUGAGGAAUAUUGGUCAAUGGGCGAGAGCCUGAACCAGCCAAGUAGCGUGAAGGAUGACUGCCCUAUGGGUUGUAAACUUCUUUUAUAAAGGAAUAAAGUCGGGUAUGCAUACCCGUUUGCAUGUACUUUAUGAAUAAGGAUCGGCUAACUCCGUGCCAGCAGCCGCGGUAAUACGGAGGAUCCGAGCGUUAUCCGGAUUUAUUGGGUUUAAAGGGAGCGUAGAUGGAUGUUUAAGUCAGUUGUGAAAGUUUGCGGCUCAACCGUAAAAUUGCAGUUGAUACUGGAUAUCUUGAGUGCAGUUGAGGCAGGCGGAAUUCGUGGUGUAGCGGUGAAAUGCUUAGAUAUCACGAAGAACUCCGAUUGCGAAGGCAGCCUGCUAAGCUGCAACUGACAUUGAGGCACGAAAGUGUGGGUAUCAAACAGGAUUAGAUACCCUGGUAGUCCACACGGUAAACGAUGAAUACUCGCUGUUUGCGAUAUACGGCAAGCGGCCAAGCGAAAGCGUUAAGUAUUCCACCUGGGGAGUACGCCGGCAACGGUGAAACUCAAAGGAAUUGACGGGGGCCCGCACAAGCGGAGGAACAUGUGGUUUAAUUCGAUGAUACGCGAGGAACCUUACCCGGGCUUAAAUUGCAGAUGAAUUACGGUGAAAGCCGUAAGCCGCAAGGCAUCUGUGAAGGUGCUGCAUGGUUGUCGUCAGCUCGUGCCGUGAGGUGUCGGCUUAAGUGCCAUAACGAGCGCAACCCUUGUUGUCAGUUACUAACAGGUUCCGCUGAGGACUCUGACAAGACUGCCAUCGUAAGAUGUGAGGAAGGUGGGGAUGACGUCAAAUCAGCACGGCCCUUACGUCCGGGGCUACACACGUGUUACAAUGGGGGGUACAGAGGGCCGCUACCACGCGAGUGGAUGCCAAUCCCCAAAACCUCUCUCAGUUCGGACUGGAGUCUGCAACCCGACUCCACGAAGCUGGAUUCGCUAGUAAUCGCGCAUCAGCCACGGCGCGGUGAAUACGUUCCCGGGCCUUGUACACACCGCCCGUCAAGCCAUGGGAGCCGGGGGUACCUGAAGUGCGUAACCGCGAGGAGCGCCCUAGGGUAAAACUGGUGACUGGGG
rnacentral:rRNA from 1 species